GCUUCUCGGUCUUUUGGCUAAGAUCAAGUGUAAUACUGCUUUGUCAAU
rnacentral:snRNA from 1 species